GUUCUUGCUAGCUCAGAUGGAAGAGCACCGGGCUAGCGAUCCGGUGGUCGUGGGUUCAAGUCCCACCCAAAACA